rnacentral:lncRNA from 12 species
UGAAUAUAAAUGCAUGCUGAAAAUUUCCUCUUAUUUUACACAGUCAGCCUCUUGGUAUAGCAUUUCCUGAUAACAGAAAGUUGGUUGGCAAAUAGGAAGUUAUCUGAAUUGCUCAAGUAGCUCCCCUGGUUGAGAUAAACCCUUGUUCAGCAACUUGUUUUUGAUUUGUAAAAACAAGCCAGAUAAGCCUCCCUUGCCGAGGUUAUCUCUGCUCUUUUGGAGGACUCUAGACUAAUCUUGCACCCAGGCAAGGUCUGCAGCCAAGCUUUAUUUAACAACAGUUUACUGCCUCACAAAUGAAGCGUGAAAAUUUAGGCAAAUAUGCCUGGAAAUCUCCAGAUUAAAACAGGAAAAGAUAAGACAACUAGUUUGUUGAAAUAGAUAAGAUAUGAGAAAGAAGCCUGAAGGGAUCCUGUUUCAGAAGAUUGAUGAAGAAGAUUCUCAAAGAAUUGCAUACAGGAGUUUGUUCUGGAGUCAAAGUCAGCAAGAGCUCCUGCUCAGAUCAGGCCCAUGAAGGACAGAGCAAAACCAGAUACAAGCAGAUCCCCAUCCCCUGCCACUCUUAAAAGCCGUGCAUCUGCUUCCAAUGAUGGGUACCAAAUCGUCUGUCUGGAUAUUUUAUCUUUUCUUACCUAAAGUGUGAAGCAUCGUUUCCUUUUAAAAGCAACAGGAUCCAUUUAACAAAAUACUGCAAUCCCUUGUUUUCUAGAUGAAAUUGCAAUCACAGCUGACAAAACUGAAUUCUAUCGCUAAGCAGUUGUAUUUCAAGCUUUAAUUCAAGUGCUUCAAGUUUACUUUAAAUGACCUGAUACAAACAUAUGAUUUAGAUCUUUAAGUAAGAACUACAGAAGCUCUGCCAGGCUCCAUUAUUUAGUCUUGAAAGUUCCAUUAUUUCCAGACAUCCCAAAGGCGGAGGCUGCCAAGAAAUGGGAGGAACAGAAGGCCCUAUCAAGAGGUGUCCUGCCAGGGAGAUGACAAGACAGAUAUAAUUUCAACACCAUCCUAAUUUGCUUUGCUGACCAGAAGGGGAAGACUCCAGCUUUCUCCAUCAACAAAAUCCUCCACAACUGAGAACUCUAUUUUAAAUCUUGUCAGCUGAAUUCUCCUCCCACUCCCCAUGCAGGCCUGUAUUUUCCAGGUGCAAAACACUACUUAAAUUUUGAAAACAUUUUGUAUAGGUUGGGGGAGGGUGAAGGAAGCAAGUAUGAAGAACUGCAACAAGCAGGGUUCUUUGAGAAUAAAGCUCUAUUGUUUUUUACCUUUAUGGAACA